AGUAUAAAUGGAUUAUACAGUGAAACUGCGAAUGGCUCAUUAAAUCAGUUAUAGUUUAUUUGAUAAUACCUUUUACUUGGAUAACCGUAAUAAUUUUAGAGCUAAUACAUGCGUGAAAGUGCGACUUUUUGGAAGCUCUGUAUUUAUUAGAUUAAAAACCAAUCGAGCUUGCUCGUUACCUUGGUGAUUCAUAAUAACUAAACGAAUCGUAUGACUUUAUGUCGACAAUGAUCCAUUCAAAUUUCUGCCCUAUCAACUUUCGAUGGUAAGGAAUUGGCUUACCAUGGUUACAACGGGUGACGGAGAAUUAGGGUUCGAUUCCGGAGAGGGAGCCUGAGAAACGGCUACCACUUCUACGGAGGGCAGCAGGCGCGCAAAUUACCCAAUCCUGACUCAGGGAGGUAGUGACAAAUAAUAACGAUACGUGACUUCGGUCUAGUAAUCGGAAUGAGUACAAUUUAAACCCCUUAAUGCAUUCCAUUGG
rnacentral:rRNA from 1 species